CCCUGCCCUUUGUACACACCGCCCGUCGCUACUACCGAUUGAAUGGUUUAGUGAGAUCUUCGGAUUGGUCCGGAGGUGGCCGCAAGGUUGCCUCCAGGUUCCGAGAAGAUGAUCAAACUUGAUCAUUUAGAGGAAGUAAAAGUCGUAACA
rnacentral:rRNA from 1 species